AUGGAGUAUAAAUAAAGUGAGGCGGAGGCUCUGAGCGCGGCCGCCAUGUUCUCUGUGUGUCUUUGUCUUUUGUGUGUUCUUUCAUUCUCCACCACCCCCGGCACGGACCCCAACAAGUGGCGCAGUGAGCAGGGUCAGCACGGGGAGUGGACCUGAGUGGUUUCCUACAAGAUGAUUGAAACCCUGUUGAAAAGAAAACUGAAUUCAGCAUGCAUUUCUUCCUUUGUUGGAUGUGCCUCGGUGGGUGACUUAUUUCCCUUAGUGAGGCUUUGUAUGAAUAUUGGACUUAUAUUCCCUUUCCACCCUUUUAUCAGGGAGUCGCCUGGGGAGAGGCGGAAAUUAAGGUUUUCACCAAUGACACUACUUGGAUGCCGUCCCCCUAUAUAGACAAGGACAAUAUAGAACGGGAAACAGCAAUUAUAAUCAGCACAUACCAAUUUGGAGUGGAAGGACUUCCAAUAUGUAUGGGAAAUAGUCCUCAUUGUCUCCGAAAAUCGCAUGAAGCUUGGGCUGUUCGUUAUAAUCAUAGUCAUGUGGCUGCUAAUACUGUUAUUAUUGUAACUAGAAGUUUUUAAUAUAAUCAUACUGUAUAUAGUAAUGAAACUAUUCCUAGUUCUUUACUUUUUUGUCCUAUUCUAGAGGUUUCUCCUAAUAUUCAGGUGCUGGAGUAACAACAAUGUCGGGGAACUAAACCCCGGAUUUUAUUAGAAUACAAUGGGAUGCAAAUAACUGAUUGAAGUGUGCACGGUGAUUUCCAACAAAAUUUAGUCACAUACCUUUGAAAUGACACUGGGUAAAUAAAAGUAUUGCUGCUAACAGUAAUGAAACCUUGGUAUGGCGUGAAGGAGGCCUGAAGUACAGAGUUAUUUUUGGAAGUUGUUAGCUGCAGGCGAUGCCAUUAGCACUUUUGUGGGGAAUAUGCCCCUUAAUCUUUCUAACCCGAAUAACUCCUUUCAUAUUCAGUUAUAUCGGAAUACCUCCUGAUAUAUUAUUGCUUGUGUCCGUAAGCCCCACCUAUUAUUAGCAGGAAAUUUGACAUGGGAUAAUCUUACGGGGAUUGUUAAUUGUACAGAUACGUGUACAUUUUUGUCUUGCCUCAAUCAUUCCUGGUGGCACAAUUUUACUGAGGAUAUUUAUAUCCUCAGGGCUCGUAAGGAAAUUUGGCUACCUGUUAACCUUACGCGACCAUGGGGGGCAUCACCUCUUGAGACUUAUAUUUGGACUUCUCUCCAGCGAACCCUCCGUGCCCUUGGACUUAUAAUUGCCUCGGUGAUGAGCCUUGUCGCCAUCGUCUCCACUGCAGCCGUAGCAGGGCUCGCUCUUCAUCAAAGCAUACAAAAUGCUGAAUUUAUGCAGCAAUGGCACGAACAAUCUCACCGGUUAUGGCUUCAACAACGAAACAUUGAUUCUCAACUUGCUGAAAGAUUGGACAACAUGGAGCAAGCAUUGACAUGGCUUGGAGAUCAGCUCACUGUACUCAGUACUCGGAUGACAUUACAAUGUGAUUGGAACUCCACUCAAUUUUGUGUAACGCCUGUGCCUUUUAACAUCUCUCAAAAUUGGACUGUAAUCCGAAAAUUAUUAGUAGGCCAUAAAAAUAUUAGUUUGGACAUCCAAGAGCUCACUCAGAACAUUUCCGAAGCAUUUCGACAACAAUUACAUGUGUUGUCCGGAACUGUAACCCUUCAGGAGCUGGGUCAGCGCCUUGCUUUAACCCAUGGACCCAGAUGAAGAUAUGGAUUUCUACAAUCUCUGGAAGUAUAUUGCUUUGGGCACUUGGAUUGGGUCUACUUCUUUUGGUGAUUCGAUGCUCCCUCCGUCGCCUCCAAAAACAAAAGAAAACACAAGAACAAAUAUGGGCUACCUUUUUAGGAUUGAGGCAAAA